rnacentral:rRNA from 1 species
UUUGAACUGGGUAACUAGAGUACUGUAGAGGGUGGUGGAAUUUCCAGUGUAGCGGUGAAAUGCGUAGAGAUUGGAAGGAACAUCAGUGGCGAAGGCGGCCACCUGGACAGAUACUGACGCUGAGGAACGAAAGCGUGGGGAGCGAACAGGAUUAGAUACCCUGGUAGUCCACGCCGUAAACGAUGUCAACUAGCCGUUUGUGUCCUUGAGACGUGAGUGGCGCAGCUAACGCACUAAGUUGACCGCCUGGGGGGUACGGCCGCAAGGUUAAAACUCAAAUGAAUUGACGGGGGCCCGCACAAGCGGUGGAGCAUGUGGUUUAAUUCGAUGCAACGCGAAGAACCUUACCAUCCCUUGACAUCCACAGAAGCCAGUAGAGAUACAGGUGUGCCUUCGGGAACUGUGUGACAGGUGCUGCAUGGCUGUCGUCAGCUCGUGUUGUGAAAUGUUGGGUUAAGUCCCGCAACGAGCGCAACCCCUAUCCUUAUUUGCCAGCGCGUAAUGGCGGGAACUCUAAGGAGACUGCCGGUGAUAAACCGGAGGAAGGUGGGGACGACGCCAAGUCAUCAUGGCCCUUACGGGAUGGGCUACACACGUGCUACAAUGGCAGGUACAGAGGGCAGCAAUACCGCGAGGUGGAGCGAAUCCCACAAAGCUUGUCGUAGUCCGGAUCGGAGUCUGCAACUCGACUCCGUGAAGUCGGAAUCGCUAGUAAUCGUAGAUCAGAAUGCUACGGUGAAUACGUUCCCGGGCCUUGUACACACCGCCCGUCACACCAUGGGAGUGGGAUGCAAAAGAAGUAGCUAGUCUAACCUUCGGGAGGACGGUUACCACUUUGUGUUUCAUGACUGGGGUG